rnacentral:rRNA from 1 species
UAUGCUUAGCCCUAAACAUAAAUAGUUCUAUAACAAAACAAUUCGCCAGAGAACUACUAGCAACAGCUUAAAACUCAAAGGACUUGGCGGUGCUUUAUAUCCCUCUAGAGGAGCCUGUUCUAUAAUCGAUAAACCCCGAUAAACCUCACCAUCCCUUGCUAAUACAGUCUAUAUACCGCCAUCU